AGUUGGUAAUAGAGAGACAGUUAGGACAGUGGGUUCUUGAGUGAGGGGAGGGAGAAGAGAUAGAGAAAGGAAAAUAAGACUAAGAAAGUAAAGAGCAACAACAUUUGGAAUGCCGUAAAAGUUUGUGUCUGAAAUAAAAUGCUGUUGUUUAGUCAUUUAGUCGUGUCCGCCUCUUUGUAACCCCCUGGACCAGAGCAUGCCAGGCCCUCCCGUCUUCCACUGCCUCCCGCAGUUCAGUCAAACUCAUGCUGGUAGCUUCGAGAACACUGUCCAACCAUCUCACCCUCCAUUGUCCCCUUCUCCUUGUGCCCUUCAUCUUUCCCAACAUCAGGGUCUUUUCCAGGGAGUCUUUUCUUCUCAUGAGGUGGCCGAAGUAUUGGAGCCUCAGCUUCACAAUCUGUCUUUCCAGUGAGCACUCAGGGCUGAUUUCCUUCAGAAUGGAGAGGUUUGAUCUUCUUGCAGUCCAUGGGACUCUCUAGAGUCUCCUCCAGCACCAGAAUUCAAAAGCAUCAAUUCCAAUCUUCUUUAUUAAUUGAACCUGACUGAGGCUGAAGUGAUUUUACCAGGGAGGACCUGGUUGGUGGCAGCGGAUUAGUGGUGUACGGGUCAAUAGUUCGUGAGACGACCAGGGGCUCCGUACGAACGCCACACACAUAUAUAGGACCAUAUAAAUCAAUAAUCAAUAUAAGUGCCAUUUGAAUGUAGAUCUGUGGCUGUAGUAUGCAGUUUUCAGAGCCCAAAUAACUGCUUUAUCAUUUCAUGGCAGUGCUGGAACCUGCAAAUUAAUCUUGAUGCUGCGUUGAGAUAUUUAUGCAUUGGAUAAAUUAGCAGUCAGUGAUUUUGUCUCAAAACUUUGAAUCAUCAGCACAGAUUGGUGCAAAAGAUUAAGUAACAUCUUAUUAUAUCUCUUACAAAGAUUAAAAGACUGUAGGCCCAAUGUUAGCAGCUAUCCUUCCUCCAGUUUGUACAGUACUCCCAUUUAAAUUUUAACAAGUGCUUAGCAGAGGCCUUGAGAGAAAUAAAGUGGCUUUCAUUAUGCAGGAAGCCUGCUAGAUGUCUUCCAUGGGUCUCUGCAUCCAUGAAUGAACACUUUUCUUUGCGUUUUGUCUCUUGUUUCCAGCAAGCCUUUCUAUGAUUGGAGCAAAUGGGAGAGUCGGAGGGAUCAAUAUAAUUUUCCUUUGUGCUGCUAGGCAUUGCUGCUCUGUGUUGUCGAUCUCUGUUCGGGUAACAAUAUAUGUUGAAAUUAAAUUGCCUCUUCUGCACAACUAUUAAAGUGCCAGGAAUCCUGCCUUCUUUUUCAUCUGACCACUUAGCUUUCUUACUAUCCGCCCCCCAGUGCAUCUGCAAAUAACUGUUUAACUGGCUGUUUAACUGAUGCCUCAAAUUCAAAUGGUGGCUGAAUUUUCAGACAUU